GUGUCCAGCAGCCGCGGUAAUACCGGCAGCCCGAGUGAUGGCCGAUCUUAUUGGGCCUAAAGCGUCCGUAGCUGGCUGCGCAAGUCCGUCGGGAAAUCCACUCGCCCAACGAGUGGGCGUCCGACGGAAACUGCACAGCUUGGGACCGGAAGGCUCGAAGGGUACGUUCGGGGUAGGAGUGAAAUCCCAUAAUCCCGCACGGACCACCGAUGGCGAAAGCACUUCGCGAAAACGGAUCCGACAGUGAGGGACGAAAGCUAAGAUCGCGAACCGGAUUAGAUACCCGAGUAGUCC
rnacentral:rRNA from 1 species